rnacentral:rRNA from 1 species
UACGUAGGGUGCAAGCGUUAAUCGGAAUUACUGGGCGUAAAGCGUGCGCAGGCGGUUUUGUAAGUUUGUCGUGAAAGCCCCGGGCUCAACCUGGGAAUUGCGAUGAAGACUGCAAGGCUUGAAUCUGGCAGAGGGGGGUAGAAUUCCACGUGUAGCAGGUGAAAUGCGUAGAGAUGUGGAGGAACACCGAUGGCGAAGGCAGCCCCCUGGGUCAAGAUUGACGCUCGAUGCACGAAAGCGUGGGGAGCAAACAGG